rnacentral:tRNA from 1 species
GCCUCUGUGGUGUAAUUGGAAGCAUACUCAACACGUAAUCGAGAGGUCCAGGGUUCGAGUCCCGGUGAGGGCA